rnacentral:rRNA from 1 species
UACGAAGGGGGCUAGCGUUGUUCGGAUUUACUGGGCGUAAAGCGCACGUAGGCGGGUCGUUAAGUCAGGGGUGAAAUCCCGGAGCUCAACUCCGGAACUGCCUUUGAUACUGAAGAUCUUGAGUUCGGGAGAGGUGAGUGGAACUGCGAGUGUAGAGGUGAAAUUCGUAGAUAUUCGCAAGAACACCAGUGGCGAAGGCGGCUCACUGGCCCGAUACUGACGCUGAGGCACGAAAGCGUGGGGAGCAAACAGG